UGCUAUGCGGAUUGAUACUAAGGCCCGCGAGUCAUUGUAGCAAUACAAGGCAGACGGCUCAGUAACGCGUAGUCAACCUAACCUAUGGACGGGGAUAGUCUCGGGAAACUGAGCAUAAUACCCGAUAGAACAUUAUGCCUGGAAUGGUUUAUGUUCCAAAUGAUUUAUCGCCGUAGGAUGGGACUGCGGCCUAUCAGUUUGUUGGUGAGGUAAUGGCCCACCAAGACUAUUACAGGUACGGGCUCUGAGAGGAGUAGCCCGGAGAUGGGUACUGAGACACGGACCCAGGCCCUAUGGGGCGCAGCGGGCGAGAAAACUUUGCAAUGUGCGAAAGCACGACAAGGUUAAUCCGAGUGGUUUCUGCUAAAGGAACCUUUUGACAGUCCUAGAAACACUGUUGAAUAAGGGGUGGGCAAGUUCUGGUGUCAGCCGCCGCGGUAAAACCAGCACCUCAAGUGGUCAGGAUGAUUAUUGGGCCUAAAGCAUCCGUAGCCGGCUCUGUAAGUUUUCGGUUAAAUCUGUACGCUCAACGUACAGGCUGCCGGGAAUACUGCAGAGCUAGGGAGUGGGAGAGGUAGACGGUACUCGGUAGGAAGGGGUAAAAUCCUUUGAUCUAUUGAUGACCACCUGUGGCGAAGGCGGUCUACCAGGAACACGUCCGACGGUGAGGGAUGAAAGCUGGGGGAGCAAACCGGAUUAGAUACCCGGGUAGUCCCAGCUGUAAACCAUGCAAACUCAGUGAUGCAUU
rnacentral:rRNA from 1 species